GGUCCUUGAGUACCUGAGGCCUUCCAAAGCUUUUUCAGCAUCCCUGUGGCUGUGGGCUGUGAUGAAGAAGAUGGUGUAUGAGUUCAUGAGAGCCCGUUUCUUCAUUUUCAAUCCCUUGUGACUGGCAGUGACAGAGCCUGAUGUGGGCUAUGGAGGGACUGCAGGUGGUAGAGCUGCUCUGCAAAGUGCUGGCAAGAGGCUUCUCUCCUGCACUCAGAGGGAAAAGCACAGUGGGAUAGUGAACCCAAUCAAGUGGAAGAGCUGCUCCAGCUUGUCCCAAACCCGAGGAUGGAUGAGCCUACACUUCCCACUGAAAUCUAUCAGCUGUCCUCGCCCGACCCCAGCCUUGUCCAGGGACACGCUGUGUGCUGGUGGAUGUCUGCUGAUAUUUUCAAAUAGCCAGAAUUCAUUCAGAAUAGCACAGGGUCAGCAGGGUUCAUCCCUACACCUGCCCAACAGCCCCUCUCCUCCCUCGCCCAUCCAUGGACCAUUCCUGGUGCCUGUGCCAGGACAAAGAUGCACAGCGACGAACGGCUGCUUCUAUUUUGCCUAGAACAGAAGUUCAUGAACUUCUGCUAUCGUUCAAGUAUGAUUUAAUUAAAACAUCAUGCCUUACACAACCAUCUCCC
ensembl:lncRNA